UACGGAGGGAGCUAGCGUUAUUCGGAAUUACUGGGCGUAAAGCGCACGUAGGCGGCUUUGUAAGUUAGAGGUGAAAGCCUGGAGCUCAACUCCAGAACUGCCUUUAAGACUGCAUCGCUUGAAUCCAGGAGAGGUGAGUGGAAUUCCGAGUGUAGAGGUGAAAUUCGUAGAUAUUCGGAAGAACACCAGUGGCGAAGGCGGCUCACUGGACUGGUAUUGACGCUGAGGUGCGAAAGCGUGGGGAGCAGACAGG
rnacentral:rRNA from 1 species